rnacentral:rRNA from 1 species
UACGAAGGGGGCUAGCGUUGUUCGGAUUUACUGGGCGUAAAGCGCACGUAGGCGGGUCGUUAAGUCAGGGGUGAAAUCCCGGAGCUCAACUCCGGAACUGCCUUUGAUACUGGCGACCUUGAGGCUGGAGGAGGUUAGUGGAAUUCCCAGUGUAGAGGUGAAAUUCGUAGAUAUUGGGAAGAACACCAGUGGCGAAGGCGGCUAACUGGUCCAGAUCUGACGCUGAGGUGCGAAAGCGUGGGGAGCAAACAGG